UGUAUCUGCAGUUAGUUGUGUACAACUCACGUGGCUAGAACAAAAGCAAAUACAUAACUAUUAACUAUUGAGACUACACACCAGUACACUUUAAUGGUAAAUUUAAUUGGGACGGAUUAGCCGGAUUAAUUACUGAAGCAAUAUAGAGAAAUUCAUCCGGAAGCAAUGAAUAACUUAGAGUAUACAUAUUAGUAUUUAAAAACCUAAUUUGCUACGUCAUUAAUAUGCUUAAUCAGUGUUUCUAUUCAAUUGGAAAUGGCUGUACUCUAUUGAAUGAAUACCUACAUAAACAGUCUAUAGAAUUUCACUUUAGUCUAUGAGGAUCAUAAUCAACGACGCGAGUCGAUGAUAUGAGUUUGUUCUUGAAAGCAUUAGCGCGUUUAAAUAAAAUAUAAUACUAAUAUUUACGCCAACUUAUUAUGUUUAUUAUAUCUAGAAUAGUCUAUAUAUAUAUAAAUGUGUUUAAUUAUACAUUAUAUGCAAUUUUAUUCUCUAAAAAACAAACAUUUAGAGUUCGGUUAUAAGUAUGUCAGUACAAGAUCGAAUGAUAGGACGGAAAGAAUGAUUCGCAUAGCUUGGAAAACCAGCUGAUACUCAUUUAUUUAUCAGACAAUCUGUGAAACUGGUGUGAUAUUAAACGUUUCCGUUUACUAUUAUUUCUUAUUAAAUUAAUAAUUAAAUGAAACUAAAUAAAGCGAUGUGAUAUACUUUAUCGUACACACUUUCCACGGAGACUUCGUCGGAGCAUAAAAUAAAAUACAAAAGUGCAAAUAAGAUCAAGUCUGAAGAAGAGAAACCAUCGACUUACAUUUUUAACGCUAAUUGCAAAGUUAAAUUACAAUAACGAUACCUGAUAUUCACUAUUUUUUUAUUUAUUACCAUAAAAACAUUAAGCGUUUUCGGUAUCGGUGACAAUAAACUUUCACAUAAAAUUUUUAACUACUAGAAAUUGAUAUGAAAUUUAAAUAUGUAUGUUAACAAAAUUUAUGUUUACAUCUCUUUUUUAAAUAUCUUUUCCCUUUUUUCUUUCAAAUUUUACGACUUUUUUAUUUUACAAUUAUUUUUUUCUAUCACGAUCAAACUGACAUGUUACAAAAACGAUUGAUACAUGUUAUUUGAUAAAAAACGAAACAAAUAAUUGGAAAAAAACUGGUAAAUAAUAACGUAGUAAGAAGGAGAUUGAUACUACAACACGCACGUGUCAAUGCGGUCCGAUGGACCGGUUGUCAACUGCAAUAAAGUUCGGAUGUGCGGAGGAGUAAAGAGUCUGUAAUCUUCAAAAGCCCCCACUCGGUUAUACUCCCGCCUCAACUUUUGCAUCCCCUUCUGGCACGUGAAGAACGCGUUCAACACUCUGCGCAGCUUUUGAUUUCAUCCCGGAUUUAAAUUAUGUUAAAAAUCAGUUAGCACAGGUUUUCAUCUUACAAAUUUAUCGCUUCACGAGAGUAAAAACUACCGAGAAAUAAUUCUUCCAAGCACUUUGAGUUGAUUAAUUUAAUCAUCCGUGUUAAGAUCAUCUGAUUUAAGAUUAUGAACUCUAAAUCAUAAUUGCAAGAUAGACUACAAAAAUUUCUCAGUUUAAAUUAAUUGUUUAAUUAAUAAUGUCAAAUACUAAUUAAUAUAAUGAUAAUAUGUCUGGAUACUUAUUUAUGCUUAAGUGAUUUAUUUACCCUUUACAAUAAAUAAAACUGUAUGUAUUUAUUUAUAUUAUUUACAGCUAGAUUAAGAUUUAUGUACUUUACUCAUCCACUUCAACAUCAAUUAUUAAAUUAAAUAUAGUCGAGGUAAGGCUUUCUUAAACGUUUAUGUCUCACGUGUGAAUUAAAUGUGAAGAAAAUAGACAAUUUUAAAUUGGAGUGAUGCCAAAAUCAUUUUGGAAGCUAAGACUAUUGAAUAUUUCAUAAUUUACAAGAGACAAACAAACAAGUAUGUUUAAAAUUUUAAUAAAUAAACAUACACAUAAAACAUGACGAUUAAAAUUUACGAGAGAUUUUAUUAUCUUAAAAACUAAUUGAAAAUGAAUUCGUUACCUUAUUAUUCAAAGUCUGUUUACUGUCAAGUUUAAUGCUUCAUUUAUAAGAUCGAUUCAAUUCACUAGAGCGUACCAAAUUGUUGACACAAACUAGUUGAAUAUUUAAAUUGAUACCGAUUAAUAUUUUAUAGAGUACCUUAUAAGGUACUUAUA